AUGAAAGUCGACGCUGCAGUUUCACAUCUCCCCGAUCCAACUCCACGAGGUGCGCUCUCUUCCUUCACCGGCUCUGACGAACUACGCCGCCACCAUCAUUAUCAUUCAUAUGGAAAUACCAAUUGCUACCCCAAACCCCCACGCCUAAGCCUUUCUCUCUGCUCACUCUUAUUUCUAGCCUCACUCAGCUCACCUCGCUGUUUCGUUCUCUAA